GAGGUCUCCUCCUCUCCAGAACAAACGGACCCGGAGAUUACAGGUGGUGGGUCCACAGGGUGGUGACUCCAUGUUAUUUCUUUUGGCUGUGCCCAAUCAGGCUCCAUGGGCCCAGCCACCAGACGCUUGCCAGUGAACUCCCCUCCCAGGCCUCGCUCUGAGAGAGUGCCCCGGUCUCUCUCUUCCGGGCGAGGUUCUCACAUGCCAGACAUGCUGCUUCAUUGAGGUCUAUGAAUUGUUCUUGGUCUGCACCCUCAUUUGGGACCAGUUUCCCUUGGGAGACCCUACCAGAGGCUAUUGCCCCCGACCACACAACUCCCAGGGUCACAGGGACACCCAAACCCCUAUAUUCCACCUGGAUGCCAGGGAAUACCAUGAUGUACAUGCUCCUUUUUACCACCAGAGUGCUCUUUGGAGAAGGUCCUUAUGAGCCGACCCAGUUUUCUGUACUCCCCUGCACAGCUGUUUUGUAUCCUAGUGCUUUUCCAGGCAAAUAAAUAAACUAAUAAACUAGCACCAUAA